rnacentral:rRNA from 1 species
CCUACGGGAGGCAGCAGUGGGGAAUAUUGGACAAUGGGGGGAACCCUGAUCCAGCCAUGCCGCGUGUGUGAAGAAGGCCCUCGGGUUGUAAAGCACUUUCAGUGAGGAAGAACGCCUGGUGGUUAAUACCCAUCAGGAAAGACAUCACUCACAGAAGAAGCACCGGCUAACUCCGUGCCAGCAGCCGCGGUAAUACGGAGGGUGCGAGCGUUAAUCGGAAUUACUGGGCGUAAAGCGCGCGUAGGUGGCUUGAUAAGCCGGUUGUGAAAGCCCCGGGCUCAACCUGGGAACGGCAUCCGGAACUGUCGAGCUAGAGUGCAGGAGAGGAAGGUAGAAUUCCCGGUGUAGCGGUGAAAUGCGUAGAGAUCGGGAGGAAUACCAGUGGCGAAGGCGGCCUUCUGGACUGACACUGACACUGAGGUGCGAAAGCGUGGGUAGCAAACAGGAUUAGAUACCCUUGUAGUC